rnacentral:pre_miRNA from 2 species
ACAGUGUGGUGCAGCCAAGGAUGACUUGCCGGCUAAUCCCUAGGAGGCAUGCAUUUGCCUUGUUUCUCUGCUUUAGAUUAUUCCGGCUAGUUGUCCUUGGCUACGGUGCGCUGUCU